UUUUUUUUUUUUUGGCUGGGGGAGAGGUCUCCUUUGGAGGUUUUUCAACAGAGGGUGGGUGAUCAUUUCUUGGAGGUGCUUGGAUUUUGAGUUCCUGCAUGGCAGAAGGGGGUUGGACUUGGUGUCCCUUGGGGUCUCUUCCAACUCUACAUAUGUGAAGUCAAAGGCUUUCAUGGCCAGCAUCCAUAGUCUUUUGUGGGUGUUUCAGGCAAUCUGGCCAUGUUCUAGAAGAGUUUUGCCAGCUUCGGGGGAAUGGUGCUCCUUCAAGUCUAGAGAUCCCAUGACAUUUAGGGCUUUAAAUGUAAUUGGCAGAACUUUGACUCUAGUCUGGAAGUGUAUUGGCAGACAGUGCAAUUCGUUUAAAAAUGAUGCCAUAUGGUUCCUGUAGGUUGCUUCCAUUGCAGCCAUCUUGGGAGCUGGCUACGUUUAGCCUGGAGAAGAGAAGGUUAAGAGAUGAUAUGAUAUCCCUGUUUAAAUAUCUGAAGGAGUGUCAUAUUGAGGCUGGAGCAAGCUUGUUUUUUGCUGUUCUGGAGAAUAGGACCCAGAGCAAUGCAUGAGAUUCCAGCUCAACAUUAAGAAGACCUUACUGGUAGUAGGAGCUCUUCAGCAUUGGAAUAUGGGCUCUCCUUUUUGGGAGGUUUUGAAACAGGGUGGAUGGCCAUGUGUGGGGGGGGGUGCUUUGGUUCUGUGUUCCUGCAUGGCAGAAUGGGGUUGGACUGGAUGCUCCUUGGUGUCUCUUCAAACUCUGAUUCUAUGAUUGUAAAGGCUUAUGCUACAACUUCUUUCUCAGUCUCAAAAGUGCUACAAGAUACCUUUGCUUAUGGAAGAAACCCAUGUCAGUCUCUUUGACUUCAAAGAUAAAAGGCCACAGGGUAAAAUGGAGCUGCAGGUAGUUUUUCAGGUGAUUUUCAUAGAUUAGUGGGGAGGAUUCUGACUUUUUACUGCACCAGUCAAGUGGCUCAUUAUAUUGAAGCAGAGACUAGUUUAUUUCUGAUAUUCAAAUGCCUACAUCAGAAUUCCUGAGUCUUUUGAACUAGACAUCGAUUGAUGGAUCUUUGCCUUAUUAAAAAACCUCAUACAACCCAGAAGCCUGUCCAUAAGUGCUGUUAUAGAGUCUUUCAGUGAUGAAUCUUUACACAGACCUGUUCUGAAAAGUUCUGUGAGGAUGACUUUUUGUUUCUGAGAAGACUCCCUCAGUUAUUCUUUGAGUUCAUUUAACUGAGGCUAGUGCGCUCUGUGACUUCUUGUUUAAUUGUUUCUCUAGAUCUGAAUCUACAGGAUGAUGUGGUUUGCUUUCCAGAUCAAGAAUUGUUGGCAUAUGUCCUGUCUUUGCAGGGUGCACAUUCCUGAACAAGGAUUGGCUUUGGCAAAGACCAGUCAAGGUGGGAUUCUUCAGAGUCAAAAAUGGACCUAGCAUUGCUUCAGAGGGAUUCUAAGUUGACUCAAGAACUUGACAUCCAACAGUUUUAGAAGCUGUUUACUUGGCUUUGAAGGAGUCAUGUUGAAGAAUGCAAGAGACCGUGAGAGCCACCUCAUCUGCUUGUACUGACAUUUCCAGAGGAGAAAUAAUGGUGAGCCUGGAGUACAGUGUGUUCCUACAUGAUAACAACUACCUGGUGAUGGCCUGAUGCUAGAAAAGAAUCAGGAGUACCUUCCAAAACAAAGGUAGAGCCCCCAUUUUCUUUUGGGUGAAGACUGAGGCAAUGAUGAUGGUGCUGUUCCACCUCAACUUUUCUGGGUGUAUCCCUACAAGUAUUGGCUAUUCAUUUGUGUUCCUCUUUGGUGUUUGCAGUCACUGAAGAUCUUUGUGGAAAGAAUCAAUGGGUAAUCGUCAUAGUUAUCUCUGGGCUCUUGGAGUACUUGAGGAAAAUGGCUGUACCCAUGGAAGUUAAACCAAGUCCACAACAAUAUCCUGCUUGAGAUUUCUUCAAAUAUUUUCUUAUUUUGAUAUUUUUAAAACAUAAAAAAACUAUUUUACAAUUAGAUUGUCUUUAAUUUUAAGAUGCUUUUUACUGUCAUUGGAAAUGCACCUUAAAUAAACACCUUAAAACUGUUCCUUAAGAUAGCAACAGUGAGUGGAGUGAUCUUAGUUCCCAGACUGGAAAUUUGAGGCAGAUGCCAACAUUAAAAUGAUAGUGUACGAUGCUGGGAGAGCUCAGUGUGUUUGUUGACUUGGUCAAAAUGUAUAUAGUUUUUACAGUUGUUCAUGUUAUGUUUGGAGUGUCAAAGCAAAAAAUGUGUUUAGAAAUCUCUUGCGAAGAUUUCUUUUUGUAACUAAUUCACGGAUCUAAUAAACUGUUCUUUAAAAGGUC